rnacentral:rRNA from 1 species
CCUACGGGAGGCAGCAGUGAGGAAUAUUGGUCAAUGGGCGCGAGCCUGAACCAGCCAAGUAGCGUGAAGGAUGACUGCCCUACGGGUUGUAAACUUUUUUUAUAAAGGAAUAAAGUGAGGCACGUGUGCAUUUUUGUAUGUACUUUAUGAAUAAGGAUCGGAUAACUCAGUGCCAGCAGACGCGGUAAUACGGAGGAUCCGAGCGUUAUCCGGAUUUAUUGGGUUUAAAACGAGAGCAGGCGGGUUAACAAGUUUGGUAUGAAAGGCUUUUGCUUAACGAAAGUUUGUAUCAAAAACUGUUAAUCUAGAGUGUAGUAGAGAGUUCUGGAAUUCCAUGUGGAGCGGUGGAAUGCGUAGAGAUAUGGAAGAACACCAGUGGCGAAGGCGAGAACUUAGGCUAUCACUGACGCUUAGGCUCGAAAGUGUGGGGAGCAAAUAGGAUUAGAUACCCGUGUAGUC